rnacentral:rRNA from 1 species
AAUGCCGGAUGCUCCAGUUGAUCGCAUGGUCUUCUGGGAAAGCUUUCGCGGUAUGGGAUGGGGUCGCGUCCUAUCAGCUUGACGGCGGGGUAACGGCCCACCGUGGCUUCGACGGGUAGCCGGCCUGAGAGGGCGACCGGCCACAUUGGGACUGAGAUACGGCCCAGACUCCUACGGGAGGCAGCAGUGGGGAAUAUUGCACAAUGGGCGCAAGCCUGAUGCAGCGACGCCGCGUGAGGGAUGGAGGCCUUCGGGUUGUAAACCUCUUUUAUCGGGGAGCAAGCGAGAGUGAGUUUACCCGUUGAAUAAGCACCGGCUAACUACGUGCCAGCAGCCGCGGUAAUACGUAGGGUGCAAGCGUUAUCCGGAAUUAUUGGGCGUAAAGGGCUCGUAGGCGGUUCGUCGCGUCCGGUGUGAAAGUCCAUCGCUUAACGGUGGAUCCGCGCCGGGUACGGGCGGGCUUGAGUGCGGUAGGGGAGACUGGAAUUCCCGGUGUAACGGUGGAAUGUGUAGAUAUCGAAAAGA